UGCGCCACGGCGCUGCUGUCUCCCUCCGCCGCCGCGGCGCCCAUCCGCCAGAGGGUCGGCUACGGCUCCGGCUCCUCCUCCAACCGCCGGUGGGCCCACGGGCCGGACGCCGCGUCCUGGAUCCGGCGCCCGACGACUCGCUCCAGGACAGCGAGGGUGAGCUGCGCCUACUCUACCGGUGCUGAAGCAAUCACUGCAUGUUCCUGGAACCAAAAUGUCAUGUGCAGUGAUGUACCUGUGCUUGUGGAGUUUUGGGCCUCAUGGUGUGGACCUUGUAAAAUGGUCCAUCGAAUUGUCGACGAGAUUGCAGGCGAGUACGCUGGAAGGAUAAAAUGCUAUAAGCUUGACACUGAUGAUUACCCACAAACUGCAAACUCCUACAAUAUCGAGAGGGUUCCGACUGUUUUACUAUUCAAGGAUGGAGAGAAAAUACAUAGUAUUACUGGAACUCUGCCAAAAGCCGUUUAUGUGAGGGCCAUUGAGAAUUCUUUCUUGGAACAGUGA
rnacentral:rRNA from 1 species